rnacentral:lncRNA from 1 species
AAAAUUCCUGUCUGCUUAUUUCAACUGGAAGUGGCAAAUUUUACCAAUUAUCUGGAGAAGAACUAAGUUACAUCAUUAAGGAGAUUAAGUAAGGUGGGUACAUUGUGAAAACUAUCAACCAGUAAGGUAGGUUCAACUCUCCUGGAUAAUGACAAGGGACAAGCAGCUCAAUCUAAGCAGUAGGCAGCUAUAAGGACUCUAGUCAGAAGCCAACUUACCAAGAGAAUGAACUUCCUUUCCUAUAUGAAGCCCCUUCCAGGAAAUAAUGCAUACAGCUAGAACCAGUGAGGCCAGCAGAUUUGCAAGUGCUGAUUUGGUAUAUUGGUUGCAACCCAGUAGUGGGUGAAAUAAGCAGAAGGCACAGUACCCAGAAGCACUUGAACCCACAGACUCAAUGAAUCCUAUAACAUACAACACAGGCCCAUCACCUAUAAUUUUUCAUCUUUCUCCCUUUCAGUCACUUUUGCCAAAUUUCCCUCAAGGUGGAGCUAACCUAAUCAGGUUUUUGCAUCUUUCCUGAAUAUUAACCCAUGUAUUUAUAUAAUUAUUAUCUCUCCAUAAUACGAUUAACAAAAGAAAAUGCCAAGCCAGUGUAAUGCAGGAACAGUUAAAUCUUUGCAGAAACCUUAUCUCAUUCUCAGGUUACAAGUACGCAGAAACAGGGCAGAACACUUUCUCUAUAUCUCACUGGCCAGACUUACUUUAUUCCUAAAGGUACUUCCACUCAAAAUCCCCAGCCCGAUAUACUUGAGUAUUAAUUCAACGUGAAACUAAAAUUGAGAACCCAGCUUUAAUGUCUUUCAUAAGACCGUCUACCUCAUCCAAAUGUGGCUUUUAACCCUUAAGCUAUAGUUUUAUUUUG